rnacentral:rRNA from 1 species
UACGGAGGGUGCGAGCGUUGUCCGGAAUCACUGGGCGUAAAGGGCGCGUAGGCGGCCUGAUAAGUAGGGGGUGAAAUCCUGCGGCUUAACCGCAGGGCUGCCUUCUAAACUGUCAGGCUCGAGCACAGUAGAGGCAGGUGGAAUUCCCGGUGUAGCGGUGGAAUGCGUAGAGAUCGGGAAGAACAUCAGUGGCGAAGGCGGAUCUCUGGGCCUUACCUGACGCUCAGGUGCGAAAGCUAGGGGAGCGAACAGG